GGCCCCGUAGUUCAAUGGAUAGAACGGAAGUUUCCUAAACUUUAAAUACAGGUUCGAUUCCUGUCGGGGCUACCA
rnacentral:tRNA from 1 species